AAGAAAUUUUGCAUGAAGUUUUUGGUAUGUCAUUUUCUUUUCUUGUAAUAUCUUUGUCAGGUUUUGGUAUUGGUGUAGCACCGGCCUCAUAAAACAAGAUGUGAACUGUCUUCUCCUUCUCUAUUUUCUGGAAAAGUCUGUAUGAUUGGUAUGAUUAUUGGUAUGAUUUCUUCCUUAAAUGUUUGGUAGAAACCUCUAGUAAAACCAGCUGGGCCUGGCAUUUUCUUUGUUUUUGAUAAUAAUUUCGAUUUCUUUAAUAGGUAUUAGGUUAUGCAAAUCUUCCAUUUCAUCUUGUAUUUGUUUUAAAGUAUAUGGACCAAGUGAAUUGAUCUCCUUAUCCCAGGACUCGACACUCUCAUGGCAGACACAUGCGCCCCUGGCUGUUUGUAUCCUUUUUAUUUUGAAAAUUUGUAUUUUUAAAAAUUUGGUUUGUCUUGACAUAAAAUCUCAAGAACUGUGGUUCUGGAUGAUCUGUAGUUUUAUUGAUUGUUUUUCUUCACCGCUUGUUUGUCUUCACUUCUGGUGAACUUUCAUUUGUAGUUCUUGCAUUCUAUCACCUCAUUUCUGAGUUUUUCUAAUACAUACUAUUAUUUUAUUUAUGUAAUAUUUUCUCAAUGUUUAUUCCUGUGUAGUAAAGAAUUAACUUUAUAGAAAGAAAGGUCUUGCCUUUGCCCUCGGCUCCUGAGAGGUGAUCACUAAGCCCUUAGAAUGUUCUGCCCGAUAAAUACCUUUGUUUACCUGACAGUAAACACCAUAUAGUCUAACAGUGUGAUUUAUGGUUGGAGUUUUGAGUUGUGCAGUAUGAGCUCAAAGUUUGCAAACUAAGGUCAGCCUGCAGACAGUCAACCAUAUUUAUGUGACUGAGCCCCAGUAGAAACUCUGGACAUCAAGGCUCAGGUGAGCUUCCCUGUUUGGCAGUACUCCAUGCUUAGUCACACGUUCUUGCUGGAAGAAGUCAGUAUUAUCUCUGGCUUCUCUGGGAGAGGACACUUGGAGGCUUUGCUCUUGGACCUUUGCUGGACUCUGCCCUGUGUGACUCUCCCCUUAACUUAAUCUGUAUGCUUUCACUGUAAUAAACUGUAACUGUGAUUGUAA